CAGGGUUUUAAUGAGAUUCAAGCUCUUAUAAUUGUGUUCAUAUGAUGAUGUGAUGUUGAUUCAACAAUCUGAGAUAUGAUUCUGGAGAUCAUGUUGCUGUUUACCCCACAAAUGAUGCAGCGGUGGUCAACGGAAUAGGAGAGAGACUUGGAGUAGAUCUUGAUACUGUAAUCUCUCUCAAAAAUCUGGAUGAGGAAUCCAAUAAAAAGCACCCGUUCCCCUGUCCAACCACAUACCGCACGGCACUGACUCAUUACCUUGACAUCAACAACAUGCCUCGCACAAACGUGCUGUAUGAGCUAGCGCAGUACGCCUCUGAUCCGCAAGAACAAGAAAACAUGCGCAAGAUGGCAUCUGCUUCACCUGAAGGAAAGGUUAGGAUCACGUCAUAAUCACUGAUGUAUG